UACAGGGGGUGCAAACGUUGCUCGGAAUCAUUGGGCGUAAAGCGCGCGCAGGCGGUCCUUUAAGUCUGAUGUGAAAGCCCACGGCUCAACCGUGGAGGGUCAUUGGAAACUGGGGGACUUGAGUACAGAAGAGGGAAGCGGAAUUCCACGUGUAGCGGUGAAAUGCGUAGAGAUGUGGAGGAACACCAGUGGCGAAGGCGGCUUUCUGGUCUGUAACUGACGCUGAGGCGCGAAAGCGUGGGGAGCAAACAGG
rnacentral:rRNA from 1 species